rnacentral:ribozyme from 1 species
AAGGGAAAUCUUUGUGGUUGGCAGGUCAUUGUUUGGAAGACGCAGCAGAGUGGAAGAGUAUGCUUUUGAGAGAAAUGAAGGCCGACAGAAUGCCUAUGGUGAAAAGAAGAAAUUCUCUUGAUAUUUGUUUUGAUGAGUCUCAAGAACCUCCCCCCCUUCCCCCAUACGAUCAAACCCCCUCAGAAGAGGCUAACAACACUGACAA